UUCCAAACGCUAUCCACCUCAUGAUCCCCACAGAGUGCAAGAUACAGAACUCCAAGUCUGCAAACUUCACAGAGAGAAAAAUGAGGUCUCUCUGAAAGCAGCGGAUUGUUUGGUUAAUCCUUGAAAAGAUCUGGGAACCACACAAGGGCUGUAGAGCUAUUGUUCCAUGCGGUGUGAAACAAGUGGAGUGGUUUAAAAUCUACAGUGAGCAAAGCAAAAACACGCCAGUGACAGGACAGUGUUCAACAUGUGAUCCGUAUUCAUGCAUAAAUGAAGCUUUGCAUCGGCUGAUUUCAUCCACUGCGUCCUACCACUGACUGAAGGCGCCAGAGUCCCCCAAGCUCCACUGUGACCUCAUGCCAGGUCACGUGUUCCUUCCCUUACCUCCAUCGCCCGCUUCAUCAUGACAUGUGUCGUCGACACGGCCUAUUCCCGACAGUGAACGCAAAGCACUGUGGGAAUCUGCCAGCAGAGACUGCAUGCAGGGAGGCGCCUGUGCUCCGGAUGCCGUCGGCUCGCUGUGUUAUCCAGCGCAAAGGAGGCGUGGCAUGAAGCCUUUUCCUUUCCCACCGUGGAGACACCAUGCAAAAGCCUCAGGCAGCAGUCGCUUCGACAGCAGUGCUGUAGGAUUGAGGAAGAACAAUGAACAAGUCCAAAUUUGUUGUUGUUGAAUUCUUACAGUAAGCAAGAGCGAUGGCCAGAAUGUGGUGAUGAGCCAAUGACCUCAGGACAAGUAGCCCGUCCAGCCCCUGAACAACAAGCCAAGACGGAGUCAAGUUACGGGAACAGGACUGGGAGAACAGGAAACAGGAGGAUCCAUGUCAUGACAGGGAGCGCAAGUCAGCAUUUAAGUGCCAAUGAAGUUGCCCACGUCCUGGCAGACAGUGGCCGCCGUCCUGCUCGCGCCAUCUUCAGAUGUCUUCCAGGCCAGGACCUGACUCCUGCGAGCUGGAAAGCAAGGCCUCUGAUCCCAAAACACGCCUGGUCCUCUCGCAAGACAACGUCCUUCCAUGAAGUCCGUCAGCUGCAAAGUGGAAACGUCGAUGGUUACACGGAUGAGCUUUGGUGAUGAGAACUAUUUUAGGUCGUAAAGUCAGCCUGCAGCCCAAACAUCUGACAGCAAUGUCAAUGAGCACACGUUGCCCCAGACGCAGUCGUCGGCAGCAGGUGAAGAUGCCUCGACUUCAGCAGCUGAAGAAGAGCCGCCACUGCGAGGCUUGAUCUCUGAGACCAGCACAUGCUCCUGGCAGCAUCAACCAGGCAGCCUGGCCUUGGUGUGGACCUCCCGGCUCUGUCUGACUGAAGACUUACCUUCGGUCACCUUUCCUGGGAGGCUCUGGAACCCAACUGGGGAUUUGGUGAAUGUUUCAAAUGAAAGAUGGAUGGCCAAAUGUUGAAUUAUAGAACAGGAUGAAUAAAUGAUGACAUCAGUUUUUCAUAAUUCGUGCAUCAACAGUUGAGGACUUUACAAACAAUAUAUGGUUUUAUCUUCUCUUCUGGACUCACUUUUUAUUGAAAAAAAAACAUUCAAAAAUCUUUUGUUUUUUUAAAUAUCAUCAAUGAAAUGAAGCAAUUUAUGGAUGUUUUUUGGUGUGAAAUAUGAGUGUCUUUAAUGGUGUAAUGGUCUCUUUUUAUUUCGAGGUGUAAGGGAUUCUGCUUCUGUGCUGUGUCAGGAUCAGUCGCCUCAUCGUUUCCUUCUGUCAUCGUGCUUCAGACAUCUUGAUAUAUGCUUGAGUGUUGCAUUACAAAAUGGAAGUAUACUUUUCCAAUCAAAAGCCCCAACCGUGAACUUGCACCCAGGAGAAGUCACUCAGUUCAGCUUCUAUCUUAUUUUCGACGACAGUGAGGGCUGUCAGGAGGACUAAGGCUAACAA